UUGACGGAAACGUUUGCUGUGUAUUUUUAUUAUUAUCUUAGCAAGAUUUAUUGUUUAUUGACGCAUUAUACCUAAGUUUCGACGUUAAUAUAACGUUUCUCUAUAAAUAAUAGUAUUAUUUCUCGGUUCCGUGCAGUGAGUAUGUGGUAAAACCGUCAAAAUGAGGCGAGGUCAUUCUGGCAUCGGUGGAUGGCGGAAUGAGAAUCCAAGACAUUUUUGGCCUCGCGGAGGCGGUGUACCUCGGCAUGGGCCUCCCCAACAAUACCCUCUACUAGACCUACCCGCCAAAUAUGGAGGGCCAAGAAUGAACAGAGGAGGACCACAUUACAAUCCUCACAUGGGACCAAACCAUCGAAUGCGAGGAGUUGACCGUCGAUCAUUUGGACCACACGAUAAUCGGCCUCGUUUUCCAGGGCCCACUGACCGGUACAACUAUCAACCACCCCAUUUAAGAAAUGAUGACAACAGUGAUACACCAAAUUACAAAAAUUUAGUUAGUUACUGUGGGGGCAGAAGAAAUGAACAGACACACAUUAAUAGUAUGGGGGAUAUAGACCAUAGGCAAACCUUUAGUUCGCCUCAUACACAAAAACCUUAUGGCCAGCAUCCUAUUUCACCAUGGGCUAAACCUCCAACUGAAGACAGGGGGGCUAGUUAUGAUGUGAGAGGUCACAGACGACCAAGCCAAUACAAUGACAAUGUGGAUGGGAACAAUAUUCCCAAUUUUACAAGCCACAGACCACCUUCAUCUGACCAUUAUGGAACAAAUGUAGCUUCAGCUAUAGACAACUCGAAUUCAUUCAGCCGCUCUGUUGAUGAUACUGUAGAUAUUGUAAGAAGAAGGCUAUUAAAUCGGAAUGAAUCUCACACCAAUACAGAUCCUCCUCCUGAUCAGAACCCUAAUGAGCGGACAGAUUCCGAGGCAGUGUCAACCACAUACCAAAGUGAACCACAGACGCCUCCAACCAGAAAAAGGAUACAGAGACGAAGACAGAAUACCCAGUCUAAUUGUGAUAAAAUUAAAAACAAAAUUGUUCACCAGUUGUUCAAAAUGGACAAGGAAAAACUUAAUAAGUUGAUGGACAAUCCAAAUUCAUCUUCUAAGUUUGAAUAUGCCAUUAGUAGCCUUAUAACAGAGUCUCAAAACAGUUUGGAUAGACAUUUGAGGUCUGUUGCAGAGAAGUCGCUAUGUAGCUCUAGUACAGAAUUUAUACAUGAUGACCACAACACUAUAUAUGAAGAUACAUUUUUGAAACAAAUGCAGUGUAUCCUAGAACCUCAGGAUACAGUUUUGCUUGAAGAUAUCAAGCCGCUGGUAAUGGCAGAGUUAAACAAAGUUCUGCAAUUAGAUGAAUUUGAUCAGAAAUUUGAAAGAGGUGAUGUAGAUCUUAAUUACUAUGCAUCUGAAGAAUUGGCUAUCAAUACAGACUAUCCUAAUAACUAUGCAUAUGAUAACACAGAUUUUACUAAUGAUGUAGUGCCGAACUAUCCCGAAGAAGAGAACCACUCUUACUAUGAAGACAGGCAGUUUUCACCAACCAAUUUUCCUGAGCAAGACACUCCGGAAAGUCCAAGAGGGCAUGAGCAAAAUGAGCAGUACAACUAUGAGCAGCCUGCCAAGUUAUUUGAAAGAAGAGCAGCUAGAAAGAGUUGUGACUACAGCCAGCUCAAGAAGAAAAGUGCUGAAAGUCGUGACCAAAUGAGACGCAGCAUUGACGAAGAACGGAAUAGGUUUAAUGAUGCAAGACGUAAGCUAGUGACUCCACCACCAGUGUUUGCAGCAAAUGUAGAACAGCUAUCUGAAGAAGAAGACCCGUUCGCUGACUUAGACAAACAGUAUCAUGUUGCUGUUGACCACAAUUUUAUUGAAGCCGAAUUGGACAAACAAUACAUGGCUGCUAAUGAGAAAACCUGUGUCACAAAUGAGAAUGAAACAAAAAAACAACUAAUAAGCUCUGUUAAAGAUAUUUCACCAACGAAACCUAUCAAAAGGGAAGUUUUGCUUAGCCCAGAAAUAGACCCAGCUUCUAUAAAAAAGGAAAUUGAUAACCAGUUGCUGAAUAUUGCUAAAUCUCCUUUGAAAUUAUCUUCUUCCACUAAUAAAGUUCGGAGGAGUCAUAGAAGGACUCAUUCAAGAAGUGAGAAGAAGAUAGAUGUCACCGAUGUGUCCAUUCAUGACACCAGUCAUAGCAAAGAUGAUAACAAAGAAUUGAAUACUGAAAAUAUUAAGCUUGAAUACAAUCCAGAAGUUACAGACAGCCAAGAAAGUAUGAAGUCAGAAAACUCGAAUACAGUCAAGUCUACUAUUGCACUAAAUUCUCGGAAAAGAUCCAUUGAUCAAAAGCCUUCUCAUCGAAAAGAAAAACGCAAAAAGAGUGACAUCAGUCCUGAAGCAAAUAAACAGAUAUUAAAUAAAAAUAUUAUCAUAAAUGUUAAUGAUUGCGUAUCAAAGUCCACAGAAAAGAAAUGUGAUGCUGCUAAGUCCAUAUUCAAUUUAUUUUUCUCCAAGGACGAAAGUGGUAAAGAGUCACCAAAAGAGAGUAAAACUGUUGAAUCCAGUGAUAAAGCUUAUUCAGAUAAAUAUGUUAAGAGGAAAGAAACACCAAAAAAGAAAGAUAGUGGAGAUAAGAGGAAACAUUCCUCAAACAGUCAUUCCAUUGUUAGCCCUAUAGAUACCAAUAAUAGUUCUAGUGAAGCACAACCCAAAAUGGAUAUUAAGAAUAAGCUUAAGACAAUAGAUAUGUUUCACACUCAUCCAGUUAAAGUAUCUAAUGUGCACCAAGCACAUAGAAAUACAGCACAAGCACUAGCUUCUAAAAAAGAAGAUAAUAUUGACAAAAAUACACCACAAUCCAACAAGACAAUCAAACGACAUGUGGGGACGCAAAUGAUUCAUAAAUCACGUACUAAAGAAACGCAGACAACUUUGUCCAAAAGUUCAGUCUCAAGACUAUGUCAAACUGAAGUAAAAAAAUUGGCAACAAAAGCUAUUCAAACAGAUCCUGUUGUUAUCGAAAAGUCGUCUAUUAAAUCCAGUGACACCUUUGAAAGGAUGAAAGAGAUUGAUCUCGAAAUACAAGUAUUACUACAAGAGAAAUUUAAACUGUAUAAUUCUAUUGAAACAAAAGAAUCGUGUUCUAAUGCUAUACAAAAUUUGGGUAUGACUGUCUUAAAUGUUACUCCUAAUGAAGAUGGUAAAGAUGACGAAACUAAUGAUGAUGGUUUAUCAGAAGACGCCAUAGUGGAUAAUUUCACCAGUAUUCCAGUGGAGGAAUUGGAACAAAUUGCACUUGAAAGUGUGCAAGAUGUACCUAUUGAAUCCCCUAAAAAGACUAAACGAAGUCAACGUCGAGCCGUUUUAGAGAGGCAACGGAAAAGCGGCCUCCGGUUGUCAAAUCGAACUGUAAACACCGUUGUUGAUGUUGCCCAAAGUCCUACUGAUCGCAAUAAAAGCAAUAAGAAAACUGCUACUCCCAACAUAUCAUUAAUAGAGCAGAUUAUAACCGAUGACCGACCUUUAGAAGAUAUCAUAUCCCUUGACGAUUAUGAAAAUCCAGAAGCUCCAGUAACAAAGAAAAGCAAAUCUAAAAAGGCACAAAAAUCUAAAGCUAAAAAACAGCCACCAAAAAAAACUAAAUCUACCAAGCCUGCUGUCAAUCUCACUGAUUUCAUAUUAAAAGAAUGCCAAGUAGUUUUAACUAGAGAGGAUUUCAGCAAGUACCUGUCUAGUUCUGAGAAAUCAGAUGAACCACCAAAAGAACCUGUCAUAGUAAAAGAUGUGAAAUUAAAUGAGCCUGAACCUCAAAAAGUCGUAAUAAAAGUGCCAGAUGUAGUAGAACAACCAGUUGAUCCUACUGACAUGUUAGACAUGUUAGAUGUAUCGGAAGAUAUAGUUAUCGGGGACAAUUGUGAAGUUAAGUCAGGAGAGAAGGAGACAGAGAGAGUUUCGAUAGGUGAUGAUAUAAUUGUGGAUAACAGUCAGUCGUCUUCAGAUGAUGUGGUGGUAGUUGAGGGGCAAAGUGAGGAUGAGUGUAAGAUGUUCGACUACUCAUCGGAUGAGGCCCUAAAGCGGGAAUCUAUCACGGUCACUGGGAAUGCUGAUGCUGUGCUGGCAAUAGAGGCCAUAGACAACAACUUCAUAGCAGCAUGCCUAGACGGCAACGUGUACCAUUUCAACAGCGACGGUCAACUGUUGACCACAUUACGGGGGUCCAACUUGGCGGUCACGUGUCUGAUCGUCGUCAAGGAGAAGUAUGGGACCACUGUGUACACCGGCUCUCUGGACUCGAGGAUACGAUACUAUGAUUUGGAAACUGGGUUGGAAAAGGGUCCAGAAUGCAACGUGCUGAGCCCCAUCCAGACCAUGGACCGCGCGUGGGACACCGUGUACGUGGGCACCAGGACGGGCUUCGUCACGCAGUAUGAAUGCAAGAACAACAUGCUAAUACCGCGGAGUACAAUGAAAUUCUCGGAGCAGUCUAUUCUCGCCCUUCGCGCCCUGAAGGAGGGACCUAGAAAGGUGUUGCUAGUAGCAGCGCGCUCCGAAAACGUAACAAUCAAGGACGCCCAAACCGGGCUUCUGAUGCGGACCCUCGAGGGCCCGCGCAUGACGGUGUACACACUCGUGUUCGAGGAGGGCAAGGUCUACUGCGGGACCUCCAGCCACCAGAUACACGUGUUCGAUUAUAACAGCGGCUCCCACUGCGGCACGCACGAGGGCGGCAAGGGCGCCGUGUGCCUGCGCGCUACCGGCGGGCUGCUGUUCGCCGGCUGCUACGACGGCUGCGUGUACGUGUACCGCGAGGGCGGCACGAGGCCCGUAGCGCAGCUACGCGGCCCGGGGCUCAUGCUGCUGUCGCUCGCCGUCGUCGGCACUAAGGUGAGUGUAGCACACACACGGCCGCUACGACGGCUGCGUGUACGUGUACCGCGAGGGCGCCACGCGGCCCGUAGCGCAGCUACGCGGCCCGGGGCUCAUGCUGCUGUCGCUCGCCGUCGUCGGCACUAAGGUGAGUGUAGCACACACACGGCCGCUACGACGGCUGCGUGUACGUGUACCGCGAGGGCGCCACGCGGCCCGUAGCGCAGCUACGCGGCCCGGGGCUCAUGCUGCUGUCGCUCGCCGUCGUCGGCACUAAGGUGAGUGUAGCACACACACGGCCGCUACGACGGCUGCGUGUACGUGUACCGCGAGGGCGGCACGAGGCCCGUAGCGCAGCUACGCGGCCCGGGGCUCAUGCUGCUGUCGCUCGCCGUCGUCGGCACUAAGGUGAGUGUAGCACACACACGGCCGCUACGACGGCUGCGUGUACGUGUACCGCGAGGGCGCCACGCGGCCCGUAGCGCAGCUACGCGGCCCGGGGCUCAUGCUGCUGUCGCUCGCCGUCGUCGGCACUAAGGUGAGUGUAGCACACACACGGCCGCUACGACGGCUGCGUGUACGUGUACCGCGAGGGCGGCACGAGGCCCGUAGCGCAGCUACGCGGCCCGGGGCUCAUGCUGCUGUCGCUCGCCGUCGUCGGCACUAAGGUGAGUGUAGCACACACACGGCCGCUACGACGGCUGCGUGUACGUGUACCGCGAGGGCGGCACGAGGCCCGUAGCGCAGCUACGCGGCCCGGGGCUCAUGCUGCUGUCGCUCGCCGUCGUCGGCACUAAGGUGAGUGUAGCACACACACGGCCGCUACGACGGCUGCGUGUACGUGUACCGCGAGGGCGGCACGAGGCCCGUAGCGCAGCUACGCGGCCCGGGGCUCAUGCUGCUGUCGCUCGCCGUCGUCGGCACUAAGAUCAUCGCCGGAUACAAGGACAGGAGUUUGUACAUAUGGAAAAUUCCACUUAGCAUACUUAAAGAAAUGAUUUUGUAAAUUCUAUCGUCUACCAUACUUAGUGUUGUAGAUGUUUUGCACUGUUUUAACUGUGUGUUAGGUUAUUUUAGUUACGGGAACAUGUAUUUUACUUUACUAGAUCGUAAUCUUUUCAUUAAAGUUUAAUUAAAAUGUUAAUUGGUUUUAAUGUACUUGUUUUAUUUGUAUGAGAACUAAUAUUAAAAAUUUGCUAUUAA